CUAAGCAGCGAUGUGGAGNGAAACCCCAAAAGNACCCCCAGUUCGGAUUGAAGGCUGAAAUUCGCCUUUAUGAAGCCGGAAUUGCUAGUAAUGGCAGGUCAGCAUACUGCCGUGAAUACGUUCCCGGGCCUUGUACACACCGCCCGUCACACCAUGAGAGUUGGGGAUACCCGAAGCCUGUGAGCCAACAGUUAAAUGGGGCAGCAGUCGAAGGUAGAAUCAAUGAUUGGGGUGAAGUCGUAACAAGGUAGC
rnacentral:rRNA from 1 species